AAUUGGGCGAAAGCCUGACGGAGCAAUACCGCGUGAGGGAGGAAGGCUCUUGGGUUGUAAACCUCUUUUCUCAAGGAAUAAUAAGUUGAAGGUACUUGAGAUCAGCGUCGGCUAACUCCGUGCCAGGCCGCGGUAAUACGGAGGAUGCAAGCGUUAUAUCCGAAAUGUGGGCGUAAAGGGUCCGCAGGUGGUCAGACAAGUCUGUUGUUAAAGAAUCUGGCUUAACUAGAUAAAUGCAAUGGAAACUGUAAGACUAGAGGAUAGUAGGGGUAGAGGGAAUUCCCAAUGUACCGGUGAAAC
rnacentral:rRNA from 1 species